GACGAACGCUGGCGGCGUGCCUAAUACAUGCAAGUUGAGCGCUGAAGGUUGGUACUUGUACCGCCUGCAUUAGCAGCGGACGGGUGAGUAACGCGUGGAGAAUCUGCCUUUGAGCGGGGGACAACAUCUGGAAACGAAUGCUAAUACCGCAUAAAAUCUUUAAACACAAGGUUUAAUAGUGAAAGAUGCAUUUGCUUCACCCAAUGGUGAUCCCGCGGUCGCUUUGCUAGUUUGGUAAGGAAAGGGCCAACAAAGCGAUGAUACAUAAGCGACCUGAGAGGGUGGUCCGCCACAAUGGGAAUGAGGCACGGGCCAAACCCCCACGGGGAGCAGGCGUAAGGGAUCUUCGGGAAUGGGGGGAAGUCUGGCCGAAGAACGGCGGGUGAGUGAAUGAGGUUCUCGGGACGUAAAACCUUGUUGAUAGGGAAGAAACUUAGGUGUAGUGGAAAGUGCAUGAAGUGACGGUAACUACCCAGAAAGCGACGGCUAACUACGUG
rnacentral:rRNA from 1 species